CUACCAUGGCUUUUACGGGUAACGGAGGAUUAGGGUUCGAUUCCGGAGAGGGAGCCUGAGAAACGGCUACCACAUCUAAGGAAGGCAGCAGGCGCGUAAAUUACCCAAUCCUGACUCAGGGAGGUAGUGACAAGAAAUAACGGACCGUGCGCCCUCGUGGCUACGGGAUUGCAAUGAGCCGAAUUUACACCCCUUAGCGAAGAUCGAUUGGAGGGCAAGUCUGGUGCCAGCAGCCGCGGUAAUUCCAGCUCCAAUAGCGUAUAUUAAAGUUGUUGCAGUUAAAAAGCUCGUAGUUGGAUUUCUGGGAGGGUGACAAUGUCCGUUCUCAAACGAGUGCAGCGGCGCCCUUCCAUCUUUCUGUUAACGCCUCUCCGCAUUCAUUUGCUGGUGGCGGGCUCAGAUAUUUUACCUUGAGAAAAUUAGAGUGUUUCAGGCAGGCUAGGCACGGAAUACAUUAGCAUGGAAUAAUGGAAUAGGACUACGGUCUCUUUGUUGGUUUGAGGGACAGCAGUAAUGAUUAAUAGGGAUAGUUGGGGGCAUUAGUAUUUAAUUGCCAGAGGUGGAAUUCUCAGAUUUGUUAAAGACUAACUUAUGCGAAAGCAUUUGCCAAGGAUGUUUUCAUUAAUCAA
rnacentral:rRNA from 1 species